rnacentral:rRNA from 1 species
GGCGAACGCUGGCGGCGUGCUUAACACAUGCAAGUCGAACGGAAAGGCCCUGCUUUUGUGGGGUGCUCGAGUGGCGAACGGGUGAGUAACACGUGAGUAACCUGCCCUUGACUUUGGGAUAACUUCAGGAAACUGGGGCUAAUACCGGAUAGGAGCUCCUGCUGCAUGGUGGGGGUUGGAAAGUUUCGGCGGUUGGGGAUGGACUCGCGGCUUAUCAGCUUGUUGGUGGGGUAGUGGCUUACCAAGGCUUUGACGGGUAGCCGGCCUGAGAGGGUGACCGGCCACAUUGGGACUGAGAUACGGCCCAGACCCCUACGGGAGGCAGCAGUGGAGAAUAUUGCACAAUGGGCGGAAGCCUGAUGCAGCAACGCCGCGUGCGGGAUGACGGCCUUCGGGUUGUAAACCGCUUUCGCCUGUGACGAAGCGUGAGUGACGGUAAUGGGUAAAGAAGCACCGGCUAACUACGUG